AUGUACUCGUCGCAGUCAUUGAGUCGCGUCAACAACAUCCGUACCUUGCUCAUCAACGCGCAGAAGGGCAACCAGUCCGCCGCCGCCUACUUCGCCACCAUGCGCGGUCUCGCGGAUGAGCUAGCGGCGGCGGGCAAACCCGCGGCUGCAACUGCGCCAGCUUCUGCCAUGGGAUUUUCUGUGGCAGAAACAGCAGACACAACAUCUCCGCGUCGUACACGACUACAAAAAGGGGUAACAAAACCUGUAAACUACAAGCAUAUUACAAAAUAUGGUAUGGUAUGUUCUACAGGUGAACCUGGUGAACCCCACAAUCUUGAGGAAGCUUUGAAUGAUGAAAAGUGGAGAAAGGCCAUGAAUGAGGAAUUUGUGGCACUACAGAAGAAUAAAACAUGGCAUUUGGUCCCUCCGCAGAAAGGUAAAAAUCUCAUCGACUACAAGUGGGUUUUUAGAAUUAAGAGAAAGUCAGAUGGAACCAUUGAUCGGUACAAAGCUAGAUUGGUUGCAAAAGGAUUCAAACAACGGUAUGGCAUAGACUACGAGGACACGUUUAGUCCUAUUGUAAAAGCUUCCACUAUUCGCCUUGUUUUGUCUAUUGCUGUUUCCAGGGGCUGGAGUCUCAGGCAACUAGAUGUACAGAACGCGUUUCUCCAUGGUGUUUUGGAAGAAGAGGUGUACAUGAAGCAACCUCCUGGGUUUGUGAACAAAAAUGUUCCUUCUUACAUUUGCAAACUUGAAAAAUCAUUGUUUGGGUUGAAGCAAGCCCCACGUGCAUGGUAUUCACAUCUCAGUCACAAGAUGCAACAGCUUGGUUUUGUUCCUUCUAAGUCUGACACCUCACUGUUUAUUUACAACAAGCACAACACAUACAUAUUUGUACUCAUAUAUGUUGAUGAUAUAAUUGUCACAAGUUCAUCAGAUGAGGCUGCCACAGGGCUCUUGAAAGAUCUCAGCUCAGAGUUUGCCCUCAAGGAUCUCGGAGACUUGCAUUAUUUUCUAGGGAUUGAGGUGAAGAAGCAUAAGGAUGGACUUCACCUCUCUCAGGAAAAAUAUGCGGCAGAUCUGGUAAAGAAGGCAGGACUACAAGGUUGUAAGCCCUCACCUACUCCUAUGUCAAAUUCAGAAAAAAUAUCUCUCACAGAAGGACAGCUUUUGAGUCCAGAUGAUAGCACAAAGUAUAGGAGUCUAGUGGGUGCACUCCAAUAUCUCACACUUACUAGACCUGAUAUUUCAUUUGCUGUCAACAAAGUCUGUCAGUUUCUCCAUGCACCUACCUCAGUUCACUGGACUGCUGCUAAACGUAUUGUUCGCUAUGUCAGGAAUACUGCCAAUGUUGGUCUGAAUUUCAGCAAGUCAUCCUCUACACUUGUAAGUGUUUUUUCAGACUCUGACUGGGCAGAUUGCCUUGAUGACAGAAGGUCCACUGGUGGCUUUGCAAUUUUCUUUGGCCCAAACUUAAUAUCCUGGUGUGCAAGAAAACAAGCCACUGUUUCCAGGUCCAGUACAGAGGCAGAGUAUAAAGCACUGGCAAAUGCCACAGCUGAGAUCAUAUGGGUACAAUCCAUGUUAAAAGAACUUGGUGUCAGGAGUAGUCAAGUUCCUUGUUUAUAG
rnacentral:rRNA from 1 species